UACGUAGGGUGCAAGCGUUGUCCGGAAUUAUUGGGCGUAAAGAGCUCGUAGGCGGUUUGUCGCGUCUGCUGUGAAAACUCAGGGCUUAACUCUGAGCUUGCAGUGGGUACGGGCAGACUAGAGUGCGGUAGGGGAGACUGGAAUUCCUGGUGUAGCGGUGAAAUGCGCAGAUAUCAGGAGGAACACCAGUGGCGAAGGCGGGUCUCUGGACAGUUCCUGACGCUGAGGCACGAAGGUCAGGGGAGCAAACGGG
rnacentral:rRNA from 1 species